rnacentral:rRNA from 1 species
GACAGAGGAUGCAAGCGUUAUCCGGAAUGAUUGGGCGUAAAGCGUCUGUAGGUGGCUUUUCAAGUCCGCCCGUCAAAUCCCAGGGCUCAACCCUGGACAGGCGGUGGAAACUACCAAGCUGGAGUACGGUAGGGGCAGAGGGAAUUUCCGGUGGAGCGGUGAAAUGCAUUGAGACGAAGAACACCAACGGCGAAAGCAGCUCUAGCUGGGCCGCACUGACACUGAGAGACGAAAGCUAGGGAGCAAAGGAUUAGGAUACCGGA